GUUUCCAGUCCCUCUGACUCUGUCACUGCAUGACCAGUGAGACCUGAGGAGAAGUUUCCGAGGACACUGGGCCUCCCUGGACAGAGAGGCAAAGCUCCAUCUAGGGAGGCUGCUGCAUGCGGAGGACCAAUUGUGGGUCGUGGUGCUCCACAGGGAGCACAUCCCACUCACCUCAUCAUCCCACUGACGCAUCUCCACCACCGCACACCAGCACUCCAUCAGCAGAACCACCAACGAUCUUACCCUGGCUUUCAUUAAGGCCUGUGAAGAGCCGCAUUUCCCCAAGGAAAUGCUCCUCAACAAGUGCCUUCUGCUGCUCACUCAGGGGUUCAACAAGUUCUUUCAUCAUCAGCUCCUCCUCCUGGUCCUCACCAAGUUCUUCUGCAUCUGCACCAUGAACAUCCAGACCCAUACUCAUGUCCAUGGACACAACCUCCUCCACUGCUUGUGCAUCAGAACCUGGAAAGUCACAUUCUGAUCACAGUUUCUUCCAGCGUGAGUGGGGUGUCGCCUACGCUACGUGACAUAUUUCCAGGCUUUGUCAAUGAGGUUGAUGCAGGAUGUUGAAAUGUUUCUUCCAGAACUCUUUCAGAGGUAAAGAUAUCUCUUCAGUGACAUUAAGCCCACUGCUGAGAGUGCCUUUGUGUACAGCUUCUUGAAGUUGCAGAUCACUCACUGGUCCAUGGGCAGCAGAAGAGGUGUCGUGUUGAGAGGGGAGGAACUUGACCUUUAUGAAGCCAUGUUUAGCAUCUGUUAUGGCUUGUGUCUAGAUAUCCUCCCAGAGUCUCAUGUCAUCAUAGAUAGGACUUUGCAGAAGUGGUUGGAUCUAGGGUGUGUGCUGCUGGAAUAAAAAAUAUGAUGCUGGGAUUGAUUCAAAGUGUGAUGCUAGGAGUAAGGGUGCCCCAUCCUGAGGGUGAGCGCCACCCUCCCUAAGAGUGGGGAGUCUGGAUAAGACACCAGAGACAGAGAGAGGGUUGUUGCUUGCUGCUUGCUGCUUUCUGCCUGCCCUGCUUUGCCAUGAACUGUUUCUCCUUUGUGAUGUCCCUCAGCCACACUACCCUGCCUGACAACUGUGAACUGAACUCUCUAUAAACUCUGUGAGCAAAAUGAACCUUCCUUCCCUUAACUUUGGAUAUUUAGUCUCAGCAAGAAGAAAAGUGCUUAAGACAGUGUCUGUAUCAUCCACCAAGGCUGGAGGGCAUGCUGGGGGCACUGUCCUUCAGAAGGAGGAAUCUUUGAGGUGGUUGGUCAUCAGAAAGAUAUUCCUUAAUAGUGGAUACUAACACCUCAUGCAGCCAUUCCAUGAGCAAUUGCCUUGUGACCCAAGCUUUCACAGUGACCCUGCACAUGACACUACACACGAUGUUCCUUGAAUGCAAGAAGGGUCUUAGCAGCAGUGGAUUAAUCUCUGGAUCAGCAUUUGCAUUUGCACACAGUAAAAGGGUCAACUGUCCUUCACGAGCUUGCGCCCUGGAAGUGUAUUUUUCUCCUGCAUGACAGAUAUUUUGUUCAGCAUUUUCUCCCAGAAGAGCCCUGGUUCAGCACUUGUUGAAUGAUGUAUCCUUCUGCUUUCAUGAAUUUGAUGAAUUCUUUUUAUAGGUGUCUACAGUGACCUUGUCAGGACUGAAAGCCUCAGCAUGUCUUAUCACACUCUGGGGGUCAUUUCUCUUGUAGAAUUUAUCAAGCGACCCUCUCCUGCCUUUAAAUUCAUCACUUGUUGCUCUUAUAGAGGGGUUUUCUUGCAGCAACUCACUGCAAUUUCCUGGAUUUUUCACAGCUCAUAGAUUCCCUAACACUCUCCCUUGCAGCUGCUUCUCAUUCAACCACACUAACAGGAAAUUUCCAACCUCUUCCAGUUCUUGUGUCCUCUGCUUGUUUAACAUUGUUACUCCUUUUGUGAUUAACAUUGUCACCCCCUUUGAUGGCAUCUUUAGUCUCCAAAUAGUCAAAUUAUCUUGACUAUCUUGCACCGCAAGGCCAGGUCAGUUACACUAACACCACACUUGUGCUUUGCUACAAUCCCCUUAAUUCAAUGGUGAUUUUCUUUAAAAAUUUCUUCUUACCUUUCUUGCUUCGCACUUUUUUGUUGGAUUCAUUAUUGUGAUCAUCCUGUGUAAGCCUCCUGAGUAUCUGGGAUGAUAGGUGUGUGCCACCAUUCUGACUCCAGCAUUUUUUGUUCUGAUGCUGGGCUGAGGACCUGGCACCUGCUAGAUGAGUGCUUUCCCAUGGAGCUAUCAUCCCAGCCCCAAAUGUUAGGUUCGUGAUCACUUUGUACUUUCUUGUCACUUUCAUUAAUGCUCUGCACUUUCUUUGGAGCCGUACUGGAUUGAAUAAUACUGUACAGCUAAAAGCACACAAAAUCCUUCACUGAAAAAGUGUGCAGGUUUGUGUGUGACUGUGGCCUCGACUAGAGGAAGCCAUGACUCCAUGUCAGAGCAGGGAAGAUGCUUGCAGUCAUGUUCAUCACCUGAUGUGAAGUUUGUGAAUGGAAGUAAAAUGUUGCUAAACGUUUCUGUUCAUGAGCUGAAUUACAGAAACAUUUAUGAACCGAGGUAUUUACAGUACUUGAUGCAAAUUUAACCAAGGAAGUGAAAGACCUGUACACUGAAUACUAGAAAACACUGAUGAAACUGCAUAAAACAUAGUCCUUGUUCAUCACUUGAAAGAUUAAUACUGUGAAAAUGUACAUACUAUCCAAUCUACAGAUUCAGUGCAAUUCCAGUUCCAAAAUUCCAGUGCCAUAUUUAUAGAAAAUGCUUAAAUUUAAGUGGGGACACAAAGGACCCCUAACAGCCAAAAUAAUUUCAUCAAAAAUAAUAAAGCUCGAGGCAUCACAGACAUAGAUUUCAAAAUAUAUUUUACAUGAGGCAAUUUUAAUCAACACAGAAUGGUACUGACACAAAAAUAGACACCUCAAACAAUGGAACAAAGUAGAAUGCCCAGAAAUGAAUACAUAUAUUUGCGGUCAAGUGAUUUUUGACAAAAGUGCCAAGAACACACAUGGGGAAAGACAGUCUCUUCAAUAAAUGAUGAAUAACUGGUUAUUUAUUGAAUUUGAUACUUACGUCAGACCAUAUUCAAAAAACAAAUUCAACAUGGAUUAAAGACUUAAAAAUAUUAAGACCUGAAAUUAAAAUUACUAGAAGAAAACACAGAGAAAAAAAUCACAUGGCAUUGGUCUGAGCAACAAUCUUUUUGGCUAUAAUUCUGAAAGCACGUGUAACAAAAGUAAAAAUAGAAAAUAAGAUGGCAUCACACUAAAAGGCUUCUCUGCACAGCACAAUAAAUAACUCACAGAAUAAAGAGACAAAGUACAGAGUGGGAGGAAACAUUUGUAAGCCAGAUAUCUGAUAAAGAAUUAAUACAAAAUAUACAAGAGACUCAAAAACUUUAUAACAAGAAAACAGCUUAAUUUAAAACUAGACAAAGAACCUGAAAAAACAUUUUUCAAAACAAGAUGGCACCCAGUACAUGCAGAAAUCCUCUGUCAUCACCAACCAUUAAAGAAAUGCUGAUUAAAAACAGAAUGACAUAACUCGUACAUGUCAAAAUGGCUUUAUCAAAAAGAUUAAAGAUACAUACAGCACUGGUGAAGACCUGGAGAAAACAGAAAAGGCAAUUCUUACACAAUAUUGGUGGGAGAAUAAAUUAGUAUAGCCAUUACGGAAAAUGAUAAGAAAUUUCCUUAACGUAAUAGAAAUCAGCAUUACCAUAUGAUUUACCAAUCCUAUUUCUGAAUAUAAAUCUAAAGAUUCUGAGAUAAAUAUAUCAAAGGAGUAUUUACACUCCUCUGUUGAUUGCAGCAUUUCCUACAAUAGCCAAGAUAUGGAAUCAAUUUAAUGUUCAUUGGUGAUGAAUGGAUGAAUGGAUAAAGAGGAUGGAUACAUACAUCCAGAUGAAUAUAUUAUAUAUUAGGCAGUCUUUUAAAAGAAGGAAGUCUUUUUUUCAGGAUGGAAAAACCUAGUUUACAUUACGUUAAGUACAAUGAACCAGGAGCAGAAAGGCUAACAUGUAUUCACUUAUGAAUGGAACCGAAAAUAGUUGAAUUCAGAGAAGAAGAAAUCAGAAAGAUGAUUGCCAGAGCUGGGAAGGUGGAGGAAGGAGAAAAUGCAGAGUUGGUCAAACGCUGCAAAAUUUCAGAUGAACAAGUGGAGUAAGCUUUUUUCCUAAUAUCUAUUAUUUUUUGCUCUUUAUAUAUUGGAUGUCUCAUUUAAGAGAAAUCUCACAAUAUUUAACCUGUGUGUCUGAUUUAUUUUACUUAACAUUAUGGUCUCAAGGUGCAUCCAUUUUCCAACACAUGGACUCAAGUUUAUCCUUCUUUAUGGCAGAGUAGUACUUCAUUGUGUAUAAAUACUGCAUUUUCUUUGUUCAUUUAUGUGUUGUAUAUAUAGGUCACUUCCAAGAUUUAGAUAUUAUGAAUUGUGCUGCUUUAAAACAAGUGGAAUAAGUUUUGUGACCUACUGAACAGCAGUGUGACAACUGUCACUAGUUAUUGCAUUUCAAUAGUAAAUAUCUCACCAUAAAAAAUAAGAGUGAGGGAUGGCUAUGUUAAUUAGCUUGAGUCAGUCAUUU
ensembl:lincRNA